AUCGCUUCUCGGCUCAUUGAGCUAAGAUCAAAAGUGUAGUAUCUGUUCUUAUCAGCUUAAUAUCUGAUACAAUCCCCAUAGGGGAUUCAGAAUAUUAAACUGAUUUUUGAAAAAAGGUGGAUGCAUGGAGCUCGCUCCGACUCUGCCACGGGUCAACCCAACAUUGCAGUAGCGUUGGGACUGGCCCUACAAUA